UCGGAGGUGGUGCAAUUGGUAGCACACCGGACUUUGACUCCGGCAAUGCUGGUUCGAUCCCAGCCCUCCGAGCCA
rnacentral:tRNA from 1 species